rnacentral:rRNA from 1 species
UAGGGAAUCUUCGGCAAUGGGGGGAACCCUGACCGAGCAACGCCGCGUGAGUGAAGAAGGUCUUCGGAUCGUAAAGCUCUGUUGUUAAGGAAGAACGAGUGUGAGAAUGGAAAGUUCAUACUGUGACGGUACUUAACCAGAAAGGGACGGCUAACUACGUGCCAGCAGCCGCGGUAAUACGUAGGUCCCGAGCGUUGUCCGGAUUUAUUGGGCGUAAAGCGAGCGCAGGCGGUUAGAUAAGUCUGAAGUUAAAGGCAGUGGCUCAACCAUUGUAGGCUUUGGAAACUGUUUAACUUGAGUGCAGAAGGGGAGAGUGGAAUUCCAUGUGUAGCGGUGAAAUGCGUAGAUAUAUGGAGGAACACCGGUGGCGAAAGCGGCUCUCUGGUCUGUAACUGACGCUGAGGCUCGAAAGCGUGGGGAGCGAACAGG